AUGGUAGAAAUAAUUUCAUCAGUAUCAGUAAUCAUGACGACUCUAACUGGAUGAAACUUAAAAUUUCUGAACACGCAUACGCUAGACACUAGGCAUUGUUCAGUUGCAGACUCGUGGGACAAAAAAAGCAAUGAUAACAAUGGGCUAAAGGGAACACAGAGUUCUAUCUAGUAAAAGGAGGGGCACCCCCCUUUCAGUCUGUAGCGAGAAGGUUGGGGAAGACUUCCUGAAGAUGGCGACCCUUCAGCUGCAUCCUGGAGGAUGAGUAAGAAGCAGAAGGGAUAGGAAGGGUGUGCCAGGGAAAGGUGCAAAGUCAUGGAAGUGUGAGAGAACAAGGAAUGCUCUGGUCCAACCUUCUUUUGUUAUGGAUGAGGAACCUGAACUUCAGAACAGGGUGCAGCUCCUUUCUUCAAAUGACUGUGUAUUGCUUACAGGAGAACUCAAGAGCAGUUUUCCAAAAUAAUCACCCUCGCUGCCGGGGUAAGUUCAUCUCUUGGGCUUGACCCUAUGUCGUCUAGGUUUUCUUCAAGCUGGUGGAUGGGACUUGGGUUCCCCCCAGACCAACAGCUCGACAUUCCUCUAAUACGGGGAUUCUAGGGACACCAAACAUUGAUCCUUGGGAUAAGCUACAUAAAAUAAUAUCUUUAGGAGAAAAGCCAAUCUGACAUGAUGAGGACUAGAAAGCUGUGAAAAAGUUUUUGUAGGAAGAAAACCAGUUACGGUCAUUAAGGUGCCAACCAGGAAAGCAUUUUCCUUCAAAGUAUUGGAACAAGCCACUUUCUUCUCCUGGCACACCUGUCCCCUAUUCAGUGUUUAAAAACCAG
ensembl:lncRNA